rnacentral:rRNA from 1 species
UACAGAGGUCUCAAGCGUUGUUCGGAUUCAUUGGGCGUAAAGGGUGUGUAGGGUGGCGCCGUAAGUCGGGUGUGAAAUUUCGGAGCUUAACUCCGAAACUGCAUUCGAUACUGCGGUGCUUGAGGACUGGAGAGGAGACUGGAAUUCAUGGUGUAGCAGUGAAAUGCGUAGAGAUCAUGAGGAAGACCAGUGGCGAAGGCGGGUCUCUGGACAGUUCCUGACACUGAGACACGAAGGCCAGGGGAGCAAACGGG